GAUGAACGCUGGCGGCGUGCCUAAUACAUGCAAGUCGAGCGAACAGAUAAGGAGCUUGCUCCUUUGACGUUAGCGGCGGACGGGUGAGUAACACGUGGAUAACCUACCCAUAAGACUGGGAUAACUUCCGGAAACCGGAGCUAAUACCGGAUAACAUAUUGAACCGCAUGGUUCAAUAAUGAAAGGCGGGCUUUGCUGUCACUUAUAGAUGGAUCCGCGCCGUAUUAGCUAGUUGGUAAGGUAACGGGUUACCAAGGAAACGAUACGUAGCCGACCUGAGAGGGUGAUCGGCCACACUGGAACUGAGACACGGUCCAGACUCCUACGGGAGGCAGCAGUAGGGAAUCUUCUGCAAUGGGCGAAAGCCUGACGGAGCAACGCCGCGUGAGUGAUGAAGGUCUUUGGAUCGUAAAACUCUGUUAUCAGGGAAGAACAAAUGUGUAAGUAACUGUGCACAUCUUGACGGUACCUGAUCAGAAAGCCACGGCUAACUACGUGCCAGCAGCCGCGGUAAUACGUAGGUGGCAAGAGUUAUCCGGAAUUAUUGGGCGUAAAGCGCGCGUAGGCGGUUUUUUAAGUCUGAUGUGAAAGCCCACGGCUCAACCGUGGAGGGUCAUUGGAAACUGGAAAACUUGAGUGCAGAAGAGGAAAGUGGAAUUCCAUGUGUAGCGGUGAAAUGCGCAGAGAUAUGGAGGAACACCAGUGGCGAAGGCGACUUUCUGGUCUGUAACUGACGCUGAUGUGCGAAAGCGUGGGGAUCAAACAGGAUUAGAUACCCUGGUAGUCCACGCCGUAAACGAUGAGUGCUAAGUGUUAGGGGGUUUCCGCCCCUUAGUGCUGCAGCUAACGCAUUAAGCACUCCGCCUGGGGAGUACGACCGCAAGGUUGAAACUCAAAGGAAUUGACGGGGACCCGCACAAGCGGUGGAGCAUGUGGUUUAAUUCGAAGCAACGCGAAGAACCUUACCAAAUCUUGACAUCCUUUGACCGCUCUAGAGAUAGAGUCUUCCCCUUCGGGGGACAAAGUGACAGGUGGUGCAUGGUUGUCGUCAGCUCGUGUCGUGAGAUGUUGGGUUAAGUCCCGCAACGAGCGCAACCCUUAAGCUUAGUUGCCAUCAUUAAGUUGGGCACUCUAAGUUGACUGCCGGUGGACAAACCGGAGGAAAGGUGGGGAUGACGUCAAAUCCAUCAUGCCCCUUUAUGAUUCUGGGGCUACACCACGUGGCUACAAUGGGACAAAUACAAAGGG
rnacentral:rRNA from 1 species